rnacentral:rRNA from 1 species
AUUGAACGCUGGCGGCAUGCCUUACACAUGCAAGUCGAACGGCAGCACGGACUUCGGUCUGGUGGCGAGUGGCGAACGGGUGAGUAAUGCAUCGGAACGUGCCAUUGAGUGGGGGAUAACGUAGCGAAAGUUGCGCUAAUACCGCAUAUUCUGUGAGCAGGAAAGCAGGGGACCGCAAGGCCUUGCGCUCUUUGAGCGGCCGAUGUCAGAUUAGCUAGUUGGUGAGGUAAAGGCUUACCAAGGCGACGAUCUGUAGCGGGUCUGAGAGGAUGAUCCGCCACACUGGAACUGAGACACGGUCCAGACUCCUACGGGAGGCAGCAGUGGGGAAUUUUGGACAAUGGGGGCAACCCUGAUCCAGCCAUGCCGCGUGAGUGAAGAAGGCCUUGGGUUGU